rnacentral:rRNA from 1 species
UCUUCGGGGAUGAUUAAACCGGCGCACGGGUGAGUAACACGUGAGUGACCUGCCUUUUAGACUGGAACAACUUACCGAAAGGUGAGCUAAUGCCGGAUGAGUUAUAUAAGUGCAUGUUUAUAUAGGAAAAGUUGGGGAGACCUGACGCUGAAAGGUGGACUCGCGUCCCAUUAGCUAGUUGGUAGGGUAAUGGCCUACCAAGGCGACGAUGGGUAGCCGGCCUGAGAGGGUGGCCGGCCACACUGGGACUGAGACACGGCCCAGACUCCUACGGGAGGCAGCAGUGGGGAAUUUUGCGCAAUGCUCGUAAGAGUGACGCAGCGACGCCGCGUGAAUGACGAAGGCCUUCGGGUCGUAAAGUUCUUUCGACAGGGAAGAAAAUGCCUAUAAGUAACUGUGUAUGUAUUGACGGUACCUGUAUAAGCAGCCCCGGCUAACUCCGUGCCAGCAGCCGCGGUAAUACGGAGGGGGCGAGCGUUGUUCGGAGUGACUGGGCGUAAAGAGCACGUAGGCGGUGUUGUAAGUCAUUAGUCAAAGACUAGAGCUCAACUUUAGUAAGGCUAGUGAUACUAUAAUACUAGAGUAUCAGAGAGGAUUGCAGAAUUCCUGGUGUAGCGGUGAAAUGCGUAGAUAUCAGGAGGAAUACCGUUAGCGAAGGCGGCAAUCUGGCUGGAAACUGACGCUGAGGUGCGAAAGCGUGGGUAGCAAACAGGAUUAGAUACCCUGGUAGUCCACGCCUGUAAACGAUGGAUGCUAG